rnacentral:lncRNA from 1 species
AGAUCCACUACAGGCUGCGCCUCUGCCCCUGCGAGGGGCACCCCUGGGUCUCUGGGAAACGGAAUGGAGGGUCUUAUGGAAGAGAAGGUUUGGAACCACCGCUGGAGGGAAGGGGAGAAGAAAGCAAGCAGGAGUGGCGCGAACAGGAAGGGACUAGGGAUAGAAGCCGGGCUUGGACACAGUGAGGCACGAACCCCGACAGACACAGAGACAGACAAGGGGUGCUGAUCUCCUCACUGGGCGGGGUGGGCAGGAAAAGGAACAGGAGCUGGAGCUAGAGCGAGGGCUGCGAGCGGCGAGUGGAUACCCGGCCUCAGGGAGGAGCUUCCAGGAGGGCAGGGGUCUCCUUUGGAGCAGCACCGGGGACGUUUGCUCGGCAAGGGCUUUUUGUGCGAAGUAACCGAAGCCAGUCAGGCUAAUGGCGGCAGAGAGAAGGAUUUAUUCUUGCACCCAGGGUGUGCGGAGGAGCCCAAGGGCAUUUGGACCUGUGUUGACGUCCGGAAGGGCCCGGAACCCAGGAAGCUCUGCCCGCAGAGGGUAUUCCUCUCCCUCUGAAGACCACCUCAAAGCUCAACUUUAUCACCUCCACGCAUGAGACCGCCGGCGGCUGAACUAAAAUCUCACCAUCCCAAUUCCAGUUUCUGGGAAUUGUCACCUCCAUUCGCUCUCAUUAGAAAUCCAGCUUUUUUCACGAGGUGAAUAACAGGGCAGUUGACAGUUCCCAAGUUUUCUGUGUCCAAUCUUCAGCCCUGGAGGGACUCUUCUGCUCCAAGUCCAGCGAUCCCGGGAGGGGGCCCACUGGUCCAGUACGGCUCAGUACCCAGCCCUGGAUCCACCAGCUGACGCUGGAAGGAGUGGGUCAUGAAGAACUCAGCACGAACGCAGCUGGGUACGAAUUCCCAGAGAUGUCCUGUCCCUCCACGGUACCAAGGACCCCUCCUUUAAGAAACUGCUUCACUGAAGGCGCAGAUGGAGGGAGGGAUCGGCAACAGAGUUCAGAGGGGUUCCGGGGGCACAUGGCUCAGCCGGAGGAAGCAGGCUGAGGCAGGAGAGUCGCUUGAACCCAGGAGGCAGAGGUUGUGGUGAGCCGAGAUCACGCCAUUGCACUCCAGCCUGGGCAACAAGAGCAAAACUCCAUCUCAAAAAAAAAAAAAAAAAAGGCUUUGGGACUAAAGCCCGUAUGCAGCCGCCCCUGGGCACAUAUACGUGGUUUUAUGACUUUGGUACUGACUCAGCCUAACUGGACCCCAGAUACAGGAGAAACUGAGAAGGACGGAGAACAUAAGCACUGUCCCCGGUGCACUGUGUCCCAUGUCAUCCUCACAUCAAUCCUGUGUCAUAGGGUCCCUGCACAGUUUGCCUGCACAGGGCUGGGCCCGCAAAGCCUCGCUCCCCAACGCACUUGUUUCAUCACUUCAAUUGAGCCUGCAUCCUGCUCCUGUGGCUGACUGGGGAGGGGCCAGCUGCAUCCCCAUCUAGGGGCCCUGCUCCCCCAUCCUCUCAUGCCUGCAGAAACCUUCACCCUGGCUCUUGGGUUUGGGCAGGUCCAGCCUGCAGAGGGGAGCGGAUCUCCUCCUGGGCCCUGGCCUGCCCUCCCUGGCUGGCAUGUGGACUAGGGGCCUGGGGGCUCACUGGAUGGUGCCCGCCCAGACUCACGGCAGCUCCUCCUGCGUGCACUCUGGCCUGUGCAGCUGUGUAAGGGUCCUGCGGUUACAUGAUGGGAAAAGCAAGAGGGAGCAUCUGGGGCCCUGAAGUCCCAAGUCACACCCAAACCAAACCACCCAGCCAGGAAGAUAGCAGGAAGCAAAUUGGAGGCGUUCUGGGUUGAACUGUAUCCCCAGCAACAACAACAAAAAGAUAUAUUGACAUCCCCAGUACCUCCUAAUGAGACAGAAUCAUUACAGAGGUAAUCAGACUAAAAUGAAGUCAAUAGGCUGGGCUUUCAUCCAAGGUGACUAUACAAAGGGGAAAUGUGGACACGGGCACACACAGAGGGAGACACCACGCGGACAUCCUGGAGGAAUGUCAAAGCCUGCUGGCAAAGCACCAGAAGCUGGGGACAAGGCCUAGAACAGACCCUCCCUCACAGGCCUCAGGAGGAACCAACCCUGCCGACACCCUGACCUGAACUUCAGCCUUCAGAACCAAGAGACAAUGAAUGCCUGCCAUUGAAGCUACCGUCUUCAGCACUUUGUUAUCACAGCCCUAGCAAACUCACAGAGGACCCUAUCCAGCUGCUGCCCCAUCUCCAAGAGCCUCGCCCUGCUGGAAGUGCACUGCUAGUCUGGUUCAUCAGCCACUCUGCACAGGACCCCUGCCCAGGACCCAGGGUCUGCAUUUUAGGCCAUCCUUGCUGGAUAGGCCCAGAGCCCAGGGUCCCCACCUGCCUGUAGAAGGGCAACUGCCAGCCGGUGCCAGCGUGCCUUCCAAUAUUCAGCCAUCUCCUCAUGAAGCCUGGGAUGUGAUUCUUGUGCCUCUAGCUCUUUCCUGAGGGGCACUGGUACCUCCAGGACCUGGAGUGUACUGGAAGAAAUGGUGCAGUCCAGGUACAGCAUGGACCCCAGAUCACCCCCACCCCACUCCCUUUCAGUGAUUAUUGUCUUAUGAACUAGGAGGGGGAGUGGGGCAGAGAUGCCUCUUUCAUGGCUCCCUGCACACACAGAACCCCUUUGUACUGGGCACUUCUACUCCCAAGGACCCUGACUUGCACCCAGCAGCUAAGGUCAUCUCACCCCCACCUCCCACCUGCCCCUGGGCCAGCAGGAGGGGCUUGGCCAUAUGUAGGCGAGACAGGACUUCUUGAAGCUGAAAGAUUUCCCACCCCAUAAAAGAGCCAGAAUGUGACAA